rnacentral:tRNA from 1 species
UACCCCGUGGUGUAAUUGGCAACACUGUAGAUUCUGGUUCUACCAUUCCUGGUUCGAGUCCAGGCGGGGUAACCA